UAUUGCACAAUGGGCGCAAGCCUGAUGCAGCCAUGCCGCGUGUGUGAAGAAGGCCUUCGGGUUGUAAAGCACUUUCAGUCAGGAGGAAAGGUUAGUAGUUAAUACCUGCUAGCUGUGACGUUACUGACAGAAGAAGCACCGGCUAACUCCGUGCCAGCAGCCGCGGUAAUACGGAGGGUGCGAGCGUUAAUCGGAAUUACUGGGCGUAAAGCGUACGCAGGCGGUUUGUUAAGCGAGAUGUGAAAGCCCCGGGCUCAACCUGGGAACUGCAUUUGAACUGGCAAACUAGAGUGUGAUAGAGGGUGGUAGAAUUUCAGGUGUAGCGGUGAAAUGCGUAGAGAUCUGAAGGAAUACCGAGGCGAAGGCAGCCACCUGGGUCAACACUGACGCUCAUUACGAAA
rnacentral:rRNA from 1 species